GAUCACCAAAAAGAAAAUAAUAAUAUUCGCGCGAAUCAUAGGUAAAAAGGUAGAUCUUGGAGAGUAAAGAUCUUCAAAACUCGUGUGAAAUCUGUCGAUCAAGCUGAUGAUUUAAAACAAGCUGAAUGCAGGUCUGUUUGGGCUUUUGGUGAUGCCAGAUUGGGAAGUUGUCCCAAAAGAGAAAGUGAAAGCCUCUGGGCUUUUUGAUCGGCAGGUAGAAUCUACAUCUCCAAAGAUUGAACAGCCACUUACUACAGGUGACAUGCUUGUACCAAAGAGACCCAUGCUACUUCUACUUUCUGUGGUUGCUGAUGGUUCAAAGAGGUUUACAUCAGGCCUUCCUAAAUCAAACUCACCAACUGACCCUGCAAAAAGAGAAGAAAGAUAAAUGAAAAUUGCUCUGAAAACAGAUGUUGUAGCAAGUGUUUGAACUUUACAACAGGCAUGAAAAGCUAUGGUCAAACAUUGGACGAUUAUGAAACAGAAAACCAUCCCCAGGUGAUUUGGUGAGCUGUAGGAUCAUAUCUGAGUGCACUUCAAAGUUAAAUGGACUUUUGACAACUUCUGAGGUUGAAAUGGAACCACAGUUU